AUUGAACGCUGGCGGCAUGCCUUACACAUGCAAGUCGAACGGCAGCACGGGAGCAAUCCUGGUGGCGAGUGGCGAACGGGUGAGUAAUAUAUCGGAACGUGCCCAGUCGUGGGGAUAACGUAGCGAAAGCUACGCUAAUACCGCAUACGAUCUAUGGAUGAAAGCGGGGGAUCGCAAGACCUCGCGCGAUUGGAGCGGCCGAUAUCAGAUUAGGUAGUUGGUGAGGUAAAGGCUCACCAAGCCGACGAUCUGUAGCUGGUCUGAGAGGACGACCAGCCACACUGGGACUGAGACACGGCCCA
rnacentral:rRNA from 1 species